CUUGAAAGCAACGUAAGAAAAGUGACUCAUCACAUACAAGAAAGCCACUGUAAACUAUAAGCAAAUUUUUCAGCAGAAAUCUUGCAGGCCAGGAGAAAGUGGGAUUCAAAGUGCUGAAAGAACUAAGUACUCUUAGUGCCAGGAAAGAAUACUAUACUUGGCAAAGCUGUCAGAAAUCAAGCAGAGAUAGACUUCCCAGACAAACAAAAGCUGAAGGAGUUCAUCACCACUAGACCUGCUUUAGAAGAAAUGCUAAACAGAGUUGUUCAAGUUCAAAUGAAAGGAUGCUAAUUAGCAACAUGAAAACAUAUGAAGGUAUAAAACUCACGGGUAAAGGCAGAAUGUACCAAGAUUGCAACAUCCUGAGAUAAAGAGGAACAACCCAGGCUCUCUCCACGAUCCUCCUAGAACAGAUGUCCUGCAACACUUGUGAUCAGUUAAGUCAAGUCCUGGCCAGAGUAUAAAACCCAGAGUUGGGGGGUGGUGUGCUUUCUGAGUCCCUCAGCUGCAGUGUGAAGUGGAGCUCGUGCAGAUGAGACUUCCUCUGUCCUAUGCACCUUUCUUGAGGCUUGGGGACCAGCUCACCGUGGAUCCUAGGCUUCUGUUGGCUUUUGC
rnacentral:lncRNA from 10 species